GCGCGUUUCCCUGCAGGAACGCCAACGUGGUGCUGGAGGCGCGGCAGUUGGCCAUGAAGAUCUUCGAGGACUACACGGUGUCCUGGUACUGGAUCAUCAUAGGCCUCGUCAUGGCCAUGGUGGCCAGCCUCAUCUUCAUCGUCCUGCUGCGUUUCCUGGCCGGGCUCAUGGUGUGGGUGAUGAUCGUGAUGGUGAUCCUGGUCUUGGGAUACGGAAUCUUCCACUGUUAC